GGGGAUUUGCAUAGCAAGCUUGGAGAUUUUGCACCUGAAUCUUAGAUUAUUGGAUGACCAUAGAUUUGUACUUAACUAUUUACGAAGUAUGAGAUAUAGGUUGGCAUUUGGUUUUGAAUUUAGAUGCUCUGAACCAAUCUUGAUUUAUUAAUUUGAUGAAUAAUAGAAUUAAAUCUUUUAUUAUGUCUUAUUUAUGAUGGAUUUCAGCUGAUUAUGGUUGUUUGGCUU
rnacentral:lncRNA from 1 species